ensembl:lncRNA
CACCAGGCUCCGCCGUCCCUGGGAUUCUCCAGGCAAGAACACUGGAGUGGGUUGCCAUUUCCUUCUCCAAUGCAUGAAAGUGGAAAGUGAAAGUGAAGUUGCUCAGUCGUGUCUGACUCUUAGCGAUUCUAUGGACUGCAGCCCACCAGGCUCUUCUGUCCAUGAGAUUUCCCAGGCAAGAGUACUGGAGUGGGGUGCCAUUGCCUUCUCCCAAUCUAGAAUAGAAAAGAGUCUAAACCUGUACACCUGAAACUAACACGAUAUUGUAAAUCAACCAUAGUUAAAUAAAAUAAAUUCCAAAAGUAAAAUAUUGUUAAUUAUUCGAAAAAACCCCAAAUCUCCCUUUAUAUCAUCCAUCAGGGCCUUCACGAGCUACUACACAGCUGUUUGUUCUUUCGUUCAUUCAAAUAUCUCUUGAGCACCUGUUAUGGCUGAGCACUGUCUCAGAUGCUGGGGAAACAACAGUGAACAUGACAAAGCCUUGUGGUGGCACAGACAAUAAACCAGCAAGCAAAUUAAUGACUUACUACUGUGACCCAAACAAUGAAGGUGACCAGUGUUGCUGUGGUUCGGGCGUCAAGUAGGCAGCCUUCUUCCAAGGGGCAGCCAGGGCAGGUCUCCCAGAGGCAUGGAGGUUGCAGGCUGAGAACUGGAGGGGGAGGAAAGAACCAGCUGUUUGAAGAUGGAGAGGAAGAGUGGUCCAGGAGUGUGCUAAGGUUCAGAGUUUCCACCUGGAACAUGAAGAUGAUUAAGGUGCCUGCCUCAUCGGUUUGUUGGGAGGUUUACAUGAAUAAGACUUGCAAUGUCCUUAGAAUGUUCUGAAUACACGCUGCUGAGGCCAGAGUUCCCUGCCAGUGGGUAGCUGAUCCAGAUCCCAGGCUCUCUCGUCAGUGAAGGCAUCUCUGCCAGCAGAUCUCCGUGUCUUCAAGGUUGAAUAAGAGAGGCAGAAGGAGACCUGACCCAGAGGUGACAAUGUGACCAGGGAGGCGAGCUCGGAAGGACGCAGCACAAGCCAAGGAGUGCAGGCAGCCCCCGAAGCUGGAAGAGGCAAGGAUCAGACUCCGUCCUAGAACCUCCAGCAGAAGUGUCGCCUUGCUGACGUCCUGGUUUCAGAUGUCUGGCCUCCAGACCUGUGAGAGAAUGGACGUCUGCUGCUUUAUGCCGCUGAGUUUGUGGCAUUUUCUUACAGCAGCAACAGGAAGCGGAUACAAGCCGCCUGAUCUCAGUUCUGCCCCUAAUUUAGUCGUCGUCAUCAUCCAACGAUUGUAACAGCCCCAGCACCAGAGGGCCUUCUGCCUGCCCCACAGCCUUACCCUCCACACACAGACUGAUGGGUAAUUCCUUCCUGAAUUCCCGCAGCACAGAGUCCACAUUUGUUAGCCUGAAGCACAGCGCUUUUCCUGACAUGGCCCCUGAGUACUUCUCCUCCCUUAUUUCUCACCACUUGGCCCCAUCGCUUUUGCUCCAGCUGUCUCAACCUCCCUGCAGUUUUCAACUGUUACAUGUUCUCUCAAACUUCUGAGGCUUUGCACAUGCUGUCCCCUUUGCCUGGAACACUCUUCCUCACCCCAGAUAUCUGCAUGGCUUGUUUUCUCAUUGACUUCGGGUCUUUGCCCCCAAAGAACUUCCUUGAUGAUAGAUUUCAAAGCACAACCCCCUCUUCACCUUCGCAUUUCCGAUUCCCUUGCCCUACCCCGUUUUCCCCCCAUGGUACUUAUCACUGCCUAUGUAUUUAACGUAUUUGUUCAUUGUCUGUUGCCCCUGAUUAGAAUUAAAUUUCACAGGAGCAGGGAAUUUAAACUGGGUGGCUUAAACAAUAAACAUUUACUUCUCACAGUUCUGGAGGCGCCGGCAUGCAGAGUCAAUGCCUGCUGAGAACUUUGAGCUCUUCAUCCCCUUAUAAGGGCACCAAUCCCAUCCUAGGGGCUCCACCCCAUGACCUCAUUCAAAGCUAGUCACCUCCCAAAGGUCCCACUUCCAAACACCAUCACACUGGUUUCAACAUAUGCAUCUGGGGGGAUACAAGCAUUCAGUCCACAGCAAGAGGAUUUGGGGGUGAUUUGGAAGGUCUCCUGGGAUUUUCAGCCCCUUGUAAUCCUUGAGAGCAAAGAUUCCUCUCCUUUCUGAGCCAUGGAUCUCUUCACUGAGCAAAUCUUUUGAAUGCAUAAGAUGCAUUAUAUUACAAAGGAUUCUAAUUAUUUUGAACUGCAGUUAUCAAAAUAUUAAAAGAAGACAUUUUGAUAUAGUAAUAAAUGUGUUUCUUUAUUAAUGAAUUGAAUACCAAGAGCUAGGGACGGAUCUAAUUAGUACCAUAAUUUUGAAGUGGUGAUGAGCAUAAGUGAUCUUCCAAGACAGCAGCAGCAACAGCAAUGUGAUAUGAAAAUAUCUGUGAUUUCUCUUAGUGACAAACACUCACAGGCACUGCAAACACUGUGGUUUGCCAUUGGUCUUCACAAGGGAAGGAAAUGGUGAAUUUCAGUAAGAGGUGAGUAAAGAGAAAGACAAUUUCUUUUUUUAACAUCCAAACCAGCCCUCUCCAUUAAGAUCCCCUGUCAUUAAUGGAGUUAGAGGUGAGCUGGGAAGAGCUUGGACCCCAUGAUUUUUCAGUGUGGAGAGAUGCUUCUGACAAGUGUACCCGUCUGGCUAAAAUGGGGGCUCCCAGGGGCAGCCUCUUCAACAAGC